UUGGCACUGAACCAUCAUGCCUUUAUUUUUUUACACCAAUUCUUUAUACUUGUCUAACACUUUUAUUUCAUUUAAACACAAAAUUAACACCAUCCUUCCAAAAUACAGAAGAAUAACAUGUGGGAGGCUUUGGUAGCUGUUGAUAACAGUCUGUGAAGAUCUCUUCUUUCUUCUGCUUAUUCACCACUUACAUUGGCACAAUACUGAGUUGUUUGAGAAGCUAUUUGUCAGAUGUCAUGAAGAAGAACGCAAUGUGACAGUAACCUGCUCCUUGUUCACAACCUUCCGAGUUAAAGAUGCGAACAGCCUGUGGAAUUACAAAUACCUUCACAUGCAAUUAAAGACUGUGUUUCUAUUCAUGUGCUCUAUUCCCUGCUGUUAUGUGAUCACUCUGUUAUGAACUACUUUCUGACUGGGAAGUGAAUGUCAAUUCACCUUUCAUUUGAUGUAGCAGAAAGCUAAUGAGUGUUAUGAACCUCUGUUGUACACAGCCAUGCAGUUUGGGAACAGUAGCUCCCUAUCUUUGGGCUACUCCUCAGGAAAUGAACGAAUCUUCCCUGACUGUUUAAAGUGAGUUGCUGCAAGGUAUGCUGCUAGCAUUUAAAAUGUGCAACUUAAAAAUCUGUUCCCUAUUUAUGCUAAAUCUGUACCUCUGAGGAAUAUUAUUCAUUUCAUGCUGUCAUCCUUCAUUUUUCUGAACUAUGUAUGUUUAAUUCCACUCCAAGUUAACCAAAUUUUUCCUCUUUCAAACUGUUCUUAAAACUGUUCAAGAGCAAAAAGGGAGUGAAAGAAGAAUGAAUAAUUGUCUUGUAAUGAUUUAUAUUAUACUAAAAUCCCUUAAUACAUAGUACUUAUAAGGGCUUUUUGGAACCCCUCACGCAAUUUCUUCAUAUAAAUUAAAGUUCAUUCUUU